rnacentral:sRNA from 1 species
GCGGAGCAGUGACGGCUGGGAUAAUAGCGAGGCAGCAGUGCCGCUCUUAGAGGGUCCGGGCUCAGAGGGGCCAUGAUUCGGAGGGUUCUGCCGCACGGCUUGGGCCGGGGCCUCUUGACCCGGAAGCCAGGCACGCGCAGAGGAGGCUUUUCUCUGGAAAUGGGGUUUUGCCAUGUUGCCCAGGCUGGUCUCGGAUUCCUGAACUCAAGCAAUCAGCUCUCCUCGGCCUCCCAAAGUGCUGGGAUUACAGGCAUGAGCCACCCACCCGGCUGGUUUUUACACUUUAGAUGUUCCCGUUUGCAUUGCCAGCUAGCCACGAGUCUUGCUACUUUACUUCAAUCAUAACCUUUCGUUUUCCAAAUGUAUUCACAGGCCUCCACUGGGCUCUCAGUAGGUGGGAUUUGUCAGCAGUUCUCAUUGCCUGAGAACAUCCAGCUCUCCCUCUUUUCAGCCAGCUUUCUACGGAAUAUCAAUGAGUACCUGGCCGUAGUCGAUGCCCCUCCCUUGGACCUCCGGUUCAGCCCCUCAGGCUACCUCUUGCUGGCUUCAGAAAAGGAUGCUGCAGCCAUGGAGAGCAACGUGAAAGUGCAGAGGUGGGAGCCAAAAUUUCUCUGAUGUCUCCUGAUCAGCUUCGGAACAAGUUUCCCUGGAUAAACACAGAGGGAGUGGCUUUGGCAUCUUACGGGAUGGAGGACGAAGGUUGGUUUGACCCCUGGUGUCUGCUCCAGGGCCUUCGGCGAAAGGUCCAGUCCUUGGGAGUCCUUUUCUGCCAGGGAGAGGUGACACGUUUUGUCUCUUCAUCUCAACGCAUGUUGACCACAGAUGACAAAGCGGUGGUCUUGAAAAGGAUCCAUAAAGUCCACGUGAAGAUGGACUGCAGCCUGGAGUACCAGCCUGUGGAAUGCGCCAUUGUGGUCAACGCAGCCGGAGCCUGGUCUGCGCAAAUCGCAGCGCUGGCUGGUAUUGGAGAGGGGCCACCUGGCACCCUGCAGGGCACCAAGCUACCUGUGGAGCCGAGGAAAAGGUAUGUGUAUGUAUGGCACUGCCCCCAGGGACCAGGCCUAGAGACUCCGCUUGUUGCAGACACCAGUGGAGCCUAUUUUCGCCGGGAAGGAUUAGGUAGCAACUACCUAGGUGGUCGUAGCCCCACUGAGCAGGAAGAACCGGACCCAGCGAACCUGGAAGUGGACCAUGAUUUCUUCCAGGACAAGGUGUGGCCCCAUUUGGCCCUGAGGAUCCCAGCUUUUGAGACUCUGAAGGUUCAGAGCGCCUGGGCCAGCUAUUACGACUACAACACCUUUGACCAGAAUGGCGUGGUGGGCCCCCACCCGCUAGUUGCCAACAUGUACUUUGCUACUGGCUUCAGUGGUCACGGGCUCCAGCAGGCCCCUGGCGUUGGGCGAGCUGUAGCAGAGAUGAUACUGAAGGGCAGGUUCCAGACCAUCGACCUGAGCCCCUUCCUCUUUACCCGCUUUUACUUGGGAGAGAAGAUCCAAGAGAACAACAUCAUCUGAGCAUGUGUGCUCUGCACUGGCUCCACUGGCUUGCAUCCUGGCUGUGUUCACAGCCUUCUUUGCUGCUUCCAUCUUCCCCAGCACUGUGCCAGGCCUUCUCCCCCUCCCCAGUGUCCUCUCCUCUCAGGCAGGCCAUUGCACCCACAUGGCUGGGCAGGUGCAGGCACUGAGGCCCAGGCCAAUAGCGAGUGAUGAGCGGGAUCCUAGGACUGAUCUGUAGCCCAUAUUGAUGUCACCCACCAGGGCAAUCCAUCUAGAGGCCUGAGCACCCUGGCCCAGGACUGGCUCCAUCCUGGCACUGACCAGGAAAGACUGCCUCUGACCCUCUUAGCAGACAGAGCCCAGGCAUGGGAGCACUCUGGGGCAGCCUGGCUCAGGUUUAUUGAUUUUUGUCUGUUUACCCUAUCCAUUAAUCAAUACAUGUAAUUAACUCCUUCCCUCC